GCAACAGAGAAUAGUCCCGCCGGUUAACCGGUAAGGGGUGAAACGGUCGGGUAAGAGCCGACCAGCGCCGGCAGUAAUGUCGGCGGCUAGGC
rnacentral:RNase_P_RNA from 1 species